rnacentral:rRNA from 1 species
GUCUCACCUGCUAAACCGUGAGUAGUAUUUUUUUUCCGGACGUAUAGGUGCCGACGAGGCAUAUCAAUCCAUCAACCUCACCCAUAAUCAAAUGUGCUUGGAUCUUGUCGCACAUAGGCGAUAAAUUGAUUGGUUGGUUGGUUGAGAGAUAUGACAAUGUAUAAGCAACGACGACGACAGUCCAAGAAUGGCGGGACAGGUCACGUCAUUAGACGAGCAUAUGAUCUGCUUACGAACUGGCAUAUUCAUUCUUCAGCUUAGGACUUGGAAACAAACAAACAAAUGACGGAGCUGAUGAUAAUUAUACAUGGUGUAGUACGUACGCAAAAAAAAAAUGUACUAGUACGUACGUACUGGCUUGACUUAACAGGACACAGCGCACUAGUAGACGAAAGAACCACUGUAGCACUUAUUUAAAAAUUAAUAAAUAUACGCAGAGUCCUGCUGUUUGUCUAAAAAAUAAGAAGCUAGUGUAGUAAAUGCAGAAUGGGAGGUGGCAUGCGAAAAUGCACAAUGGAGGAAUGUCUCCACAGAGGCCGGAUAUUUCCAGGUGCAACAUACACAAAGCUUGUAUCACACGUUCGAGAAAAGUUUAAUAAAAUUGUAAUUUUCAUAUGUGGGGUAGACAAAAAGUAAAGUACGCACAUGAAAAUGGGGCAAUAUGUUUUGUUGUUGGGCCGGGUUUUUUUUUCACAGCUUGCAAAUGGUAGUAUUUUGGAACGAAAAUUUACAGGUCCGUCGCGAAUGUAUAUUUGUUUUCACAAGAUUUUUCAUUUUUGAUUUUUUUUCGAAAUUCAUGCUUUUGACCAUG